rnacentral:rRNA from 1 species
GAUGAACGCUAGCGGCAGGCUUAACACAUGCAAGUCGAGGGGUAUGCUUCUUCGGGAGCAGAGACCGGCGCACGGGUGCGUAACGCGUAUGCAAUCUGCCUUUUACAGGGGGAUAGCCCAGAGAAAUUUGGAUUAAUACCCCAUGGUAUUAUAGGGUGGCAUCACCUUAUAAUUAAAGUCACAACGGUAAAAGAUGAGCAUGCGUCCCAUUAGCUUGUUGGUAGGGUAACGGCCUACCAAGGCUACGAUGGGUAGGGCUCCUGAGAGGGAGAUCGCCCACACUGGUACUGAGACGCGGACCUGACGCCGAGGGGAGGCAGCAGUGAGGAAUAUUGGUCAAUGGGCGCAAGCCUGAACCAGCCAUGCCUCGUGCGGGAUGACGGUCCUAUGGAUUGUAAACUGCUUUUGUACGGGAAGAAACACUCCUACGUGUAGGAGCUUGACGGUACCGUAAGAAUAAGGAUCGGCUAACUCCGUGCCAGCCGCCGCAGUAAAAC